rnacentral:lncRNA from 1 species
CCUCCCCUUAAGCUCUAUAUAUAUAUAUAUAUAUAUAUAUAUAUAUAUAUAUAUAUAUAUAUAUAUACAGGCCCUUUAUGCAAAGGGAUCCCCAUUUUUUUUUCAAAAAAUGGGGAUUAGGUGUGGGGCUCACUUCACAUCGAACUUCAACGAUCCGAACCGUCUAUUUUGUAAGUCUCGAUUCAUAGAUCAUUCUUGCAAAAAUUCAAUUUAAUCUGAAACCAUUUGCCUAUUUAAUUAUCAAGAUAAAAUUUCAUUGUUUCUUAUAUAACAAAGUAUUCGUUCAUUUCUUUGAACCCAAUUAGAUGUCUUAAACAUUUCCGAUUUGGCUAAUAUUUUGUAAGGAUGAUCUAUGAGGUGCAACUUGAAAAAUAGACGGUUCGGAUCGUUAAAGUUCGAUGUAAUGUGGACCCCACAACUAAUCCCCAUUUUUAUAAAAAAAUGGGGAUCCCUUUCCUUAAAGAUUUCAUAUAUAUAUAU